UUAUUUUAUUAACUUACAAAUAAAUGUUUUGUCCAUUUUAGUAUAAUAAAGAAUCAUUUAUAUUUUAUUAAAAAUAACUAUUCUUUAAAAUGAUACCUUUAUAAAUCAAAAAUAAUUUUAAUUACCUUUUGUAUUAGUGAGUUUGGAUAUAUACAUCUAUAUUAUAGUCUCGAAUUAAGAAGAUUGUCUCUAAUUAUUAUUAUAUAUUUCAGUAUAUAUCUAAAUAUCAGAGCUGAAAAGAAAUUUUAUCCGAUUCUUAUUUAUCUAGUUCUUUUUACCUAAACAAAGUUUAUAUAUAAAAAUAUAUUCAAUAAUCUUAGUCAUAUAUUUUUUUAUACUUAAUAUUUAAGGGGAUAAUCUCUUAAAUUUUUUAAUAAAUCUUCAAAAACUUUCAUAUACCUUAGGCUUAGAAAUAGCCACCUAAAAUUUUUGUUAAAAUUAUUUAUUAUUUUAAUAUAUAAAAAUAGAUUUUUAUUAAUUUUAUAAGUUUAUAAAUUAAUUAUUUCUAUACAAUAAUAAUCAUACUAUUAUUAAAUCUACAAAUUAAUCAAAAAAAAAUAAUAUUAUUUUUUAAAAAUUAGGCAAUAAAAAAUCUGAAUGUUUAACAAAAACAUUUCUAUUAAUUUUCAUUAAUAGUAUGGUCUGCCCACUGAUUUAUUAAAGGGCCGCGGUAUUCUGACCGUGCAAAGGUAGCAUAAUCAUUAGCCUUCUAAUUAGAGGAUUGAAUGAACGGCUUAACAGUUUUUUUCUUUUUUAAAAUUAAAAUUAGAACUUUAAUUUAAAGUUAAAAUGCUUUAUUUUUUAAAAAAGACGAUAAGACCCUAUAGAUCUUUACUUAUUUAUUAAAUAUAUUUGUUGGGGGACUUCUACAUUUAAUAAAUAAGUUUUGUUGGGGCAACACAAGAAUAAUUAUAAAUUCUUACUUUUUUUUAUCCAUUAAUAUUGUUAUCCAUUUUUAUGAAUUUAAAAAGUUACCUUAGGGAUAACAGCGUUAUAUAUUUUGAGAGUUCUUAUCAAUAAAUUAUCUUGCGACCUCGAUGUUGAAUUAAAAUUUUUAUAUGGGGCAGUUUUUAUAUUAAAUGGUCUGUUCGACCAUUAAUUUUUUACAUGAUUUGAGUUCAAACCGGCGUAAGCCAGGUUGGUUUCUAUCUUUUUAUCAUUUUAUAAAUUUUUAGUACGAAAGGAUCAAUUUUUAUUUAUAUCUGCUAAUUU
rnacentral:rRNA from 1 species